CUCUACUGGGUAUCACACAACCUUCAGUGAUUCUCUCAAUUCUGCUCGAAAUAUUCAAUAAAAAUUUGGCUGUAAUAUUAAUGGAAAAAAUGGAUGUUGGUAUGUUGUUAAAUAUCUAGUUUUACAAAUAUUCUCAACACUUGUAGGUUGGCAGUGGUGGCGCUUGUUGCACCGGCUGUCAACCACUGGUGGCCUUCUUUUCCUACCAACCUGGUAAAAAAGGCCUAUAAGAAGUUGUUGGUGCAGGACCAAAGGACAUUCUGGAUUGCACACCAUGUCCCUUUCCCUUCUGUAUGGGUGGAUGUCCCAGAAGUGGUUCCCUGCUUCAGCUGCUGUUGAGGGGCAUCCUGAUCUAUUUUCCCCACAGGAUAAGGAGAUCAUGCGGGAGAGGUUUUCAUGUAAUGAAUCAAUUGGAGCUGAAACCUGCAAGCCUUGGCUAAACCUAAAGGAUUCAACGAAGGAAAAAGAUGAUCCUGGGAUGCCACUCGACGCUACUAAUCGCAAAUACCACUCGAUGUGACUAAGCUACACACUUGAUUGGGAGGAGGAUGCUACUCAACUCACAAAAGCAAGAAAGGCUUGUUGGAAAGGAAUUCUGAAAAUAACAACUCUCUGUUUUUCAUUUCAUUCAUGUACCAGUUUUAUAUGCUA